rnacentral:lncRNA from 1 species
CUGCAGUUUGUCAGAAAUCAGCUGUACGUCUCUGGUCUCAGCUCUGAAGUCCAACCCCUCCCAUCUCAGAGAACUGGACCUGAGUCAGAACAACCUGCAGGAUUCAGACCUGAAGGAUCUUUCUGAUCUUGUGAAGAGUCCAUACUUCAGACUGGAGACUUUGAGGUUCAGUGACAAAGUGAUUAAAGCUUCUACAGAGAAAACCUGUGACUCUGCUGUCAAACUGGGUCCAAAGACAGUAGAGACAAAGAUGGAUAUGUCAGAGGACACAAAGCUGGACAAGGUGAGAGGUCAAACAUUUUUUCCUGAUGCUUCAGACUGAUUUGGAGCUUCGGCACACGGCAGGAAAUGGAGAACAAAUAUUAAACCAAUAUUUCCUUCAACUGGCAAUGAUUUAAUCUCUUUGGGCAGAGAAAGAGAAAAGGACAAAAACUGAAACUAUUGUUUCAAUUUUUCAUUUUGAGUGGU